rnacentral:rRNA from 1 species
ACUCCUACGGGAGGCAGCAGUGGGGAAUAUUGCACAAUGGGCGCAAGCCUGAUGCAGCCAUGCCGCGUGUAUGAAGAAGGCCUUCGGGUUGUAAAGUACUUUCAGCAGUGAGGAAAGGUGGGAUAUGUUAAUAGCAUAUCUUGAUGCUAUCUGCAGAAGAAGCACCGGCUAACUCCGUGCCAGCAGCCGCGGUAAUACGGAGGGUGCGAGCGUUAAUCGGAAUUACUGGGCGUAAAGCGCAUGCAGGUGGUUUGUUAAGUCAGAUGUGAAAG